UUUGAUCCUGGGUAUAUUGACUGCUGGCGGCAUGCCUUACGCAUGCAAGUCGAAGGGUAACAGGUCUUCGGAUGCUGACGAGUGGCGAACGGGUGAGUAAUACAUCGGAACGUGCCUAGUAGUGGGGGAUAACUACUCGAAAGAGUGGCUAAUACCGCAUGAGAUCUACGGAUGAAAGCAGGGGAUCGCAAGACCUUGUGCUACUAGAGCGGCUGAUGGCAGAUUAGGUAGUUGGUGGGAUAAAAGCUUACCAAGCCGACGAUCUGUAGCUGGUCUGAGAGGACGAUCAGCCACACUGGGACUGAGACACGGCCCAGACCCCUACGGGAGGCAGCAGUGGGGAAUUUUGGACAAUGGGCGAAAGCCUGAUCCAGCAAUGCCGCGUGCAGGAUGAAGGCCUUCGGGUUGUAAACUGCUUUUGUACGGAACGAAAAGCUCCGGGCUAAUACCCUGGAGCCAUGACGGUACCGUAAGAAUAAGCACCGGCUAACUACGUGCCAGCAGCCGCGGUAAUACGUAGGGUGCGAGCGUUAAUCGGAAUUACUGGGCGUAAUGCGUGCGCAGGCGGUUUUGUAAGACAGAGGUGAAAUCCCCGGGCUCAACCUGGGAACUGCCUUUGUGACUGCAAGGCUAGAGUACGGCAGAGGGGGAUGGAAUUCCGCGUGUAGCAGUGAAAUGCGUAGAUAUGCGGACGAACACCGAU
rnacentral:rRNA from 1 species